ACGUUCGUUAACACGACUUAAUAUUUACAGUUGGUCGCCGUUAUCCGAUACACGGAACAUCGUACCAUGUCAAUACGCAUAUACCGACUUACCAGGCCUCACAAUAGGAUUACCUACAGUACACCGUAAUCUCCUAACAUCAGGAAACACGCAGUCUGGAGUUCGUGUAGAUGUCGUCUGCUUUUGUCUGAACACUUUCUGCCCGGCAUUCGUGCUUGCUGUGACCAGACAGGUUUUACUGACUAAACGGUUUAACGAGUGUCCUGGCCUGGUCUCGUGUGAAAAAGACGAGCACCUUUAAGUAAUACCGGAAUCCUACGAUCUUCACAUUACUGAAAGCAUUCCUGUCAACGAUAAUCGGAUUGGGCUAAUUAGCUGGAUUCACCGUCUUUCAUUUUCUGGGUUGAUGUUUUUUCUUUGUUUCAUGACCACCUGCCGUGUGUCGGAUUCAAAAGCCAUUAUUCUUAGGAAGAUCACAGAGAUGGGAUGAAGAAUUUGCUCAUUUUACCAAAUACCCGGACAUCACACCGUGAAGAACCUCCUCUACAUUCUCAAGCGCCAUUGCCGGAAACAGUCCACCACAACACCUCCUCUCACAACUCCAAGCCUCUCUAUCUCUUUUGAGUUAGUUAGUCUUUUGGGGGUUUAACGCCGUUUCUUUGAAUAACGAACACAGCCAAUAAUCAUAAACAGGGCAAUUCAGGGAUUCGAACCUCUGAUCAUUGGAUUCUGGAACAUCAAAGGGACGUAACUCUACACAGAUAAUCGCAGCGACUAAAACGUCAGGGCCAGCGGCUUCCAGUCUUAAGGACACUUAGGGUUUACUUACAUGAGUAUCCUUUCACCAUGGGAUACACAGAGGCGGUAAAAUCACGACCUGAAGUUUCAUUUGCAGUUAAUGUCAGGUCAACGUAUCAAGUCCAGGUCAUGUUUAUGUUGACACGUGACCUGAACAGGACGAAAGCCCUCGACACUUAAGUCGUGAUUGAUCUCAAUUUACAACAUUCUGGUGACAUGUCCAAAAUUGACUCAGUGUCCGAAAUUGACCCAGUGUCCAUGGUGUCUUGUUUAACAUUUGGAUGACCACCGUCCGGUCAAAGAUGGACGUGACCACGCAACUGACCAUCAAGAUAGCAGCAAAUUUGACAACUCGUCUCUCACCAACUCGUGAUGCUGGAGCUCCCCAUUGUCACGUCCGACCUUCACCUUACGAUCACACUGUCUUCAAGCACGUGACAGGACUAGUUUAACAUCAUUACAAAAUAAGAUUCAUUUAAUAUUUUCAUAUGCUGUGACAAACGAACGUAUAGGGUUUGUCUAAUAAGGGUCUAUCGUAGUCAGUCCACACAGCCAGUUAUCGUCGAUAUGGCAUCUGAACAUGUUCCCGAAAAAUUCGAAAUUAGACAGUUGUAGCAGUAAAAUAAUUUGGCGGGAGUACGUUACUCUCAUUUCAUUCUGUGGUUGCUGAUGUUGUUGCAGUAAGGGGUGGUGUACACGACGUUGGGGUAGGGGUGGGUUGGUAGAGACGUAAUAAAUUAUAAAACUAUUAAGACGAUUGUUAUGUUCUUCAGUAAAGCUUAUUAUAAAGAGACCGAGCUCCGUCUUACGAAUUUGCCCUUUGUGCGCACAACUGUCAUCGGAAACGUACGGAAAUUUACGAGGCUCUCCGACGGAGUUGGUUGCCACCCCCCUGUGAUUCAAAGCCGACAUAUUUAUCAAGCGGAUUUAUUCAUACUGGAAUGACACUUGAAUGAUAGAGUGGAAAAAUGACAUUCAUUCUUUGUCUCUCUACCUCAUUACGGCGGGCUAUAAAUAAUGUUUGUAUCUUUGACAAAGAUUUGAUGGUCAUGUCGUCAUUAUCAUGGAUGUUCAAAUAGCAAUAAAAAGAUACAUGCUAUA